CAGCCUCGUCUUCCACUCCCCGCAACACUCGUAUGAGUGGACCAGCCCCAUCUUCCUUCAGGACGGCGAUCUCCCCGCACGGCCGCACGCCAGACCCCACUCCUCCCGAUACCGGCGUAAGGCAAAACUAGGUGCGACGCCGCUGUUUCGGUCGUCGACGUUGAGAGACUACCCCUUUCUGUCCAUGCCCUUCUUGAUCGAAGCCAGUCGUUCAAGGCGGAACAACGCCGCCGCUGCCCUCCUGACCUUUCUUCCGCUAGCACAGUUGAGAGGGGCUCCAACAGCAUGUCAGGUGGCGGAGUGUGGCCUUCCUAAUGGGCCACGCGGUCAGCGGCAAGGUAUUUAUUGGUUUGGGCGCUGAUCUGCAGGUUUGGCUGGCUGGUGCUCGCAUCUCCUCUUGUGGUCGUUGAUGUCAAAUCCUCUUCCCACGAACUCAGCUUGCCACUUAUUGCAAUCUACCCUCCUCCAUGGCAACCAGACAUCAGGUUUCAUCGACUUUAUCUCUGUUUCCCCCCUCUGUCAAAAUGCUGUGCGAGAAUGCAUAUUCAGGAUCAGUGUCUCGCUACGCCUCAUCUCGCACUAAAAGGGGACCAUAAGUGUGUGUUGCCUCGGGAAUAAUGGCAAAAAGAAACCAGAAGAUUACAUUGUUGGUUUUCUAGACUCCUAAUGACUUCACUUCGUUUGCAUAUGGAUGAACUAAUAGGUAAUCAGCAGGUUUCGUUUUCCACUUAUAUGCUUUUGAAAACAAAAGGCUACGUAGAUAGAUAAUGAAAAAGGUUUUGAAUAUUCUGGUUGACAGAUCGUACAUAUCGUAAAUCUGUUACACUGAAUAUUUUAAUUUUAAGUGUAAAGGUAAUCACUUAUUUUAUACGGAGUACUUAUUAUUCUAAAUCUCAAUGGUUAUCUCAUAAGUCUGAACUCCAAAUUUAACAAUUUUUUCCAUGCUAUAAAUCAAAUAACUUAAAUAUGUACACUCUAUUGAUUUUACAAGGGAUGCUAAUGUAGCAACAAAGCACCAACUAAGUUCCAGCAUAAAGUACAUGAUUCUGGUUUCCCUUAGCUACAAGCUUUAGUAAUAUUACACUUUGACCCCUAAGUAUUAUUUCUCAUGUCCUUUUACAAUUUAUCAUUCCUUUCUCUCUUCUGCGGAUUAAGUGACUGAAAGUAAACCAUUUGCUAUACACUAGAAACUUUAAGCAUCUGAAAUUUAUGUUGAAUGUUAAUCAGCAUCCAUAAAUUACUUUUGCUCAGCAUGUAGAUUAUCCUUCUCUAAAUCGUGUGGUAAAUUUUAAGGUAGGAGUCCAUUGACAACACUGAAGAUCAAAUAAAAAGGCAGCAAAUAUUACGAAAAAAAUUACAGCUGCAGAAUUCCAUAAAAGGGUAGGAGGCUGCGAAAGGAAACCCUAGUGCUCCGCCGAACUCUACUUCGAGCGGUGGCGGCCACCACGAUGAGCUAGCUUGUCCGGCUACGGCUCCGCCACUUUCAUCAUGUUCCUCAACAAGCUCGCUGAUGUCAAAGGUAUUUCUGUGAAAUCGUCCUAGCGAUGAUCACUGUAGAGAUUAUAUGAUCUUGUUGUUUCUCUGUCCUCCCAAGAUCAUAUAUAUCUCCCCUCGAAAUCCCUUUUCAUAUCUAUGAUCUCUGUUUUUAUUGUUGAUUACCAAUUACUUUUCUAGAACUGAUAAUACCAAGGGAAGAUGACAUUGCUUAGUUGUUGUGCCGGUGCCCGAUGGACAUCUCGGCAGGAUGUAGCCGGAACAGUUGUUGUACUGUUGGCAGGUUUCUUGACUCUAAACCCCAUUCCUGAAAGGUGGGCUCUUAGGGAUUGGCUUGUGUUAUAAGGGCCCAACUAAGAAGUUUAAUUAGUUCAGAAGAUUGGGAAGUUGCAUGUCCAUUUUCUUUGUUAAUGUGUUCCUUGAAGAGUACCCUUUGAUAUUUAGCAACCAGAUUGUCACUUUUGUAAGAAGUUUGAACUUUUUAUUGUCUAUUUGUUUAAAUGCGUAUGUCGCCUAAAAGAUUAUCUGACAUCCAGUUUUGUUCGGGUGAAUGUCAUGCUUGUGUACACUAAACAUUCUUGAUUUAAUUUAACAGCUAGGCCAUGGACAUAAUUAGCGUAGAUGCCAUUAACUAGGAUGUUCAAGCCAUUGGAUGAGCUCACUGUUGACAGCAAGGUUAUGUUCUGCUUUCAAAGUCAAUCUGCAUGAAUCUAUAAUCAGCUCUUGUUGGACACACUUAUUCUGUGAUGCUACAUUUGCAGAAUAUUUUAAUGUUUUCUGAUUUUGAGAAUUCCAUUGAAGCUGGUAGACUUUUCACAUAAUUCAGGCUCCAACUUUUAUCAGCCAGUAAUAGCAAACGUGAACUACAAAAGGUAAGACAAGAAAGUCAUUUACUGAUGUGAGCUACUCUGUAUCGGUUGAAGGUUAAUUUUACUUAGCUUUGUUCGAUGGCAUUUGACGUUUAAAUGUAAAAAGACUUAAAAUUCAGUUGACUAUAUUUAAGAAUUGCAAUAAAGAAGUGUCUGAUCGGCUCGGUUAAGCUAGGUAACUUCAUAUUUUUCAACUUUAUGCUUCAAAUCAUAUCCUUGAAAUUACCUCUACACUUUAUUAAGUGAACUACAUCAUUGAAUUGCCUGCUUUGGAAUUCGAACUAAGAUCCUUUGUUGUUCAGGUUCCACUCUUUAAUUACCUUUGAUAAAAAAAAUUGACUGAGGUUUUAGGAAUUCAUUUUUCUCUUUUCCUGUCUUUUUUUUUCUAUUAUGUAAAACACAUCAGUCGAAUUUAACCCCAAAGUACACUGCUUAUAUAAAUGGGACAUCAUCUGUAUAUUUUAUGUUAUCAUUUCAACUUUAACUUUGAGGGUUUCUGAUGUGUAGUCAAUACGAAGUGUUCAUGAAACUGACAUUUAACAUGGCAUCAUGAUCUCAUCUUAUGUGGUUAUUGUUCCCUUCAGGUGUUAAAAGAUAGACUAUGAAAUUGUAUUGUUUCAUAAAAGUAUAUACUAAUAUCAACUUCCAUUGCACGUAAUUAAAAUUUGAAGUUAAUUUACAUCCUUAUCACCUGUUUGCUUCCGAAGCUUUUGCCAUGACACAGAAAGAAUACCCAAGACACCAAAGCAGGGCAUUAUACAUAAGAAUAGUAAAGCUUUGUUGAAAAUGUUAGCAUACUACUAUGCUUCAUAUCCAAUUAUUUUUCUGCCUACGAAAUAUUUCUUUAUUAGUUUAGCUUCAUAUUUGAGGCACUGUAAAGAUAUUUAUUACAUUGAGCAUUAGUCUAUUUGAUAAAUAUAUGUGCAUUGCGAAUUCUAUCAGAUAUAUCUAUCAGUCUAAUUCUAUAAUGGAUGGGUGUGCGUUGCCUUGAUAUUCUAUUUCAUGACCACGGUAUCAAAACCUUGCUAGAACUUAACCUUGGUUUCUAAUUUCUAGAGUGACUUGACAUUCUUGUAUUUCAUCUAUAUAAUUUGUUGAUGAUACUAUUUAUUGUAAAAUACCUUCACCACUUGUACACGAAGAGUUGGGUUGUAAAGCUAAUGGUCUAUUGGACAAGUAAGAGAUGUUUCAUACCGUUUGAGUACACAUUUUCUCAUGCUAUAGCCUUACAUGAUUGCAUGUUAUUGCUUCCUGCUUUUCAAAUGUUAUUUGGGGGGCAGCCCAUUAUGCUUUGUGACCUUUGCCUACAUUAUCAGGUGGGAACUUGGUACUUUAGGGACUAAUCAGAUAGUAUCUUUUCAUGUAUGCACUGCACUCAUCUUGAUUAUUGUUGCAAACAUGGCUAAUCUAACAAUAUGUAUAGUCUAAGGAGAAUAAAUUAUUGUUCACUAAUAUCUCUUUGUAGAUAAAUACACAUAUCACCUCACUUAUUUCAACUGUGAGAUUAGUACACAAGUGCAUAAAUCUGAGACCAACAUCACCCAAGAGUCAUACGUGCCUAUACUUGAAAUCAUUUUUUCACUUAUCAUCAUGUGACAUGAUUUUGAGUUAUAUAGACUAGCCGCAUGGUCGUGCCAUGAUUCCUUGGUGCUAUUGUCCCAUUAUUUAAUUAUUCUUGUGUUAGUGAUUACUUAUUUUGAAUAAGGAGGCAAUAACCCCAGUCCCAUCUUGGUAAUACAACUCAUGAACUGAAUGUUAAAAAAACCAAUUAUGCAGUUUGCCUUUACCUUUGGAUUAUGUAACUAUGUUCUUUAAUUCAAACUUUCAUUGAUUCUGCUUUUGCCAUCUAUAAACAUGCAAUCAUUCACCUAAUGGCAGAACUUCACUUUUUUUUUUAUUUCUAUGCUCCAUGCCGGGUUUUUUACUCAUGUUAUUUGUACCAUUCAUCAUGCUUAGCCUCCUUUGUUGUUGUUACAUUUAUUUGCUUUAUGUUCAUUGCAGGUUAAUAAAGGCAAUGCUCAUGGCUAGCUGAAAAAGGAGUGGCGUGGUUCUGGUGAUAAUAAACUUGUUUUAUCUCAUCAGAUGGAACACAAUGGUUGUUGUUAGCAUGCCUCCAUGUCUCGAAUAGUUUAGACAACGCAAGUAUGCAUACAUGAUCAGGACUUGUGUAAGCACUUUCUUUGCCAUUGUUUAUCAUUUUUCAUCUCAUUUUGAAAUGUGUAUUAUAUGAUCAUUUCCUUAACUCGAUGGUACGAUUAACGCUAUAAAUAACAAUAUCUGUAGACCCACUGAGAAGGCAUGUUCAUAAUUGAGAUAGUCAACUAUUCAUUCUUUAUGUUAUACUCUUCUAGAUUUUAAGUUCCAGCACAAUAUUGACCCAUCUUAUAUAUCUGUACUAUCCUUUUUCUUAUAUAAUGUUGAUAUUCUUUCUUUUAAUAUGGACGGGCGCGGCAACGCGCGCUCUCAUGGUCUAGUUAGUUUGAUGAUAGGUUCAUGUUUCGUGGCUUCGCGUUGCGCACAUUGCACGACACAUUUAGUCGUUUUUAGAGAGAGAGAGAGAAAGGAGUUAUUGUGUAAUCACACAUUAGAGAUUUAGAGAUUAGUAUUAUGAUCUGGAACACUAGUAUAAAAUAGGGUUUUUGUCCAAUGCCCCUGAAAGCUUUAGUCUCGGUUUUAAAACGAACCGGGACCGGUAGGGGGCAUACGAGCAAUUCAAUAGGAAAUUGCGGGAUUCUUUGUUAGGGAGAUCAUAGCUUCAACUGGAACGCGUACCAUCGGAAGAUCAUAUAUGACAUUAGGGAUAGAAAAUAGAGAUGUGGUAAAGAGGAUCGACUUUAUAUUGUAAAUAUGCAUUACAUGUAUUGUAUUUCAUGACGAUGUUUAUAUAUUCAUGACGAUGUUGUGCUUUCUUGAAUGAUGUAUGCAUUGCAGAUUUGAAUGAUUAACAUAAAACCAUGAAAUUCUGCCGCGACAGAGAAACGCUGCUCACCCGAAACCUCUGCCGCGGCAGAGAAACGGUCAUUUCCUCUGCCGCUGCAGAGACCCUUUAAUCAUGGUUCGUAUGAUGAACCGGGACCAAAGGUCCUCCACCACGAGCCCCCUGGCCGCACCAUGUGGAGCACCCUUUAGCCCCGAUUUAUCUUUGAGUUGGAACUAUAGGGAAAAAUCUUUAAUCCCGAAGGUUAGUCCCUGUUUCAAAACCGGGACUAAAGCCCAAAUGCACCGGGAUUGAUUCCCUAUUUUCGACUAGUAGCUAUAUAUGGCAUUCGGUGGCCGCGAAUGGGGGCCGAACCCCAUCCGUCUCUCUGCCCGCUCCGCUUCCGUCGAUGAGCAAUCCACGCGGGCCGACGAGAAAUCUGCAAGCCAUGGUGUCCGGCGGUGGUCGAGGAGGCUGCGGGCUGAGGGAGGGUGGGCGGCGCUGGAUCUGCCCCGCAUGCAAGCUCACUGCCGAGGAGCUUGAGCACCAGCGGUGCGCCUCCGACGCCACCCGCAUACGCGGGUCGUACCGCUGGCUUCAACAAGGGGCUCAAGCUGCCGCGCGCGUUCGCACGGCGCGAGUCACAGUACUACAGCGAGCUCGAGGCGUCGAGGUCGCGAGAUCCGCCGCUCAAGCUCUUGCGAUAUGUUGGCAUCGAGCUCCUCGACGCCGCGUCGCCUCACCUUCUCCAAACCGAGUUCAAGCGCCCCGUCCCCGGCACGGCGGUUCGACCCCGGCGAAUGCACGGAGGACUACGCCAAGAAGAAGGCGGAGUGGCUCCACGAACAUCGAGCUUGACAUCAACAAGGCUGCCGACUCCACCGCGGAAGCACGUAGCUCUCCGGUAAGCUCCAUUUUGUUUACCGGCCGCAGCGGCGCCAUUAACAUAGAGAAGCGGAGCAAUAGGCUCUGCGGUUUAUCUCCUCUAUGUACCUGUAGCGAAUGAAUGUUUCAAUUAUGCAGUUUGUUUAUGGCAUUUCUGAGCUGCGCUCCCAAAUGUCAACCUGUAUAUAUCGACGAACCGGGACCAGUAGGGGGCAUAUGAGAAAUUCAACAGGAAAUUGCGGGAUUCUUUAUUAGGGAGAUCAUAGCUUCAACUGGAAGGCGUACCAUCGGAAGAUCAUAUAUGACAUUAGGGAUAGAAAAUAGAGAUGUGGUAAAGAGGAUCGACUUUAUAUUGUAAAUAUGCAUUACAUGUAUUGUAUUUCAUGACGAUGUUUAUAUAUUCAUGACGAUGUUGUGCUUUCUUCAAUGAUGUAUGCAUUGCAGAUUUGAAUGAUUAACAUAAAACCAUGAAAUUCUGUCGCGACAGAGAAACGCUGCUCACCCGAAACCUCUGCCGCGGCAGAGAAACGGUCAUUUCCUCUGCCGCUGCAGAGACCCUUUAAUCAUGGUUCGUAUGAUGAACCGGGACCAAAGGUCCUCCACCACGAGCCCCCUGGCUGCACCAUGUGGAGCACCCUUUAGCCCCGAUUUAUCUUUGAAUUGGAACUAUAGGGAAAAAUCUUUAAUCCCGAAGGUUAGUCCCUGUUUCAAAACCGGGACUAAAGCCCAAAUGCACCGGGAUUGAUUCCCUAUUUUCCACUAGUAGCUAUAUAUGUCAUUCGGUGGCCGCGAAUGGGGGCCGAACCCCAUCCGUCUCUCUGCCCGCUCCGCUUCCGUCGAUGAGCAAUCCACGCGGGCCGACGAGAAAUCUGCAAGCCAUGGUGUCCGGCGGUGGUCGAGGAGGCU